rnacentral:lncRNA from 1 species
GGGAGGCUGCGUCCGCGCGCCGGCGAGGCGAGGCGGCCGGGCCCUGCGCGUCAGGCCUGAGACCUGGGAGGAAGCUGGAGAAAAGAUGCCCUCUGAAUCUUUCUGUUUGGCUGCCCAGGCUCGCCUCGACUCCAAAUGGUUGAAAACAGAUAUACAGCUUGCAUUCACAAGAGAUGGGCUCUGUGGUCUGUGGAAUGAAAUGGUUAAAGAUGGAGAAAUUGUAUACACUGGAACAGAAUCAACCCAGAACGGAUAGCUCCCUCCUGGAAAAGAUGAUAGUGUCGAACCAAGUGGGACAAAGAAAGAUCUGAAUGACAAAGAGAAAAAAGAUGAAGAAGAAACUCCUGCACCUAUAUAUAGGGCCAAGUCAAUUCUGGACAGCUGGGUAUGGGGCAAGCAACCAGCUUUUGUGUGGUCCUCUGAGCCCCAGUGAGAGUUUCCUGAGGUACCUCACCCUUCCACAAGACAACAGGCUUGCCAUUGAUCUGCAACAAACGGCGGUUGUUGUCAUGGCCCAUUUAGACCGUCUGGCUACACCCUGUAGAUGCCUCCUCUGUGUAGCUCUCCGACGUCUCAUAAGAGUCAUUUUUUACAGGUCAGAACUGUAGAAAUAAUGAGAAAGUGACACUUGUACGCAUAGCUGAUUUGGAGAACCAUAAUAACGAUGGAGGCUUCUGGACUGUGAUUGACGGGAAAGUGUAUGAUAUAAAGGACUUCCAGACACAGUCGUUAACAGAAAAUAGUAUUCUUGCUCAGUUUGCAGGGGAAGACCCAGUGGUAGCUUUGGAAGCUGCUUUGCAGUUUGAAGACACCCGGGAAUCCAUGCACGCAUUUUGUGUUGGCCAGUAUUUGGAGCCUGACCAAGAAAUCGUCACCAUACCAGAUCUGGGGAGUCUCUCUUCACCUCUGAUAGACACAGAGAGGAAUCUGGGCCUGCUUCUCGGAUUACACGCUUCCUAUUUGGCAAUGAGCACACCGCUGUCUCCUGUCGAGAUUGAAUGUGCCAGUAAGAAAAUCUUUGCUUUUUGCUGAUCAGCAGAUUAUUUUUUUUUGAACUGUAAGUGCCAUUAAGAGUGGGAGAGGGCCAGGCACAGUGGUUCAUGCCUGUAAUCCCAGCAGUUUGGGAGGUUGUGGCACGUGGAUUGCUUGAGGUCAAGAGUUUGAGACCAGCCUGGGCAACAUGGCAAAACCCCAUCUCUACAAAAAACACAAAAA